rnacentral:rRNA from 11 species
GUUCACAGUCGCCUUAAUAUCCUAGUGGCACCAGAUCCUCUCUGAACUUGGUAGCUAAGUAAAAUUAGCCUCGGUUAGUUCUUAGAUGGGAGACUGCCAAUAAAUACCAAAUGUUGUAGGCU